AAAUAUUGUAAACUAUGUACAUAUGUAAAUAAUUUGUAAAUAUUUUAAAUGCAACGCUCGAACAUAAUGGAACAAUCGGACUUUCAACAAAGUGUAAGGAACGGCCUCCUGUUGCUGCACUUCCCGGACUUGCCUACCUGCUGGAACAACUUAAAGCUGCAGCCCCACCUGCAACUUCUCGGACUUUCUACCGGAUGGAACAAUUACAUGCUACCUUCUCCCCGAUAGGAGAUCGGGUGUCUCCUAUCGCUGCCUUGGUACAUUGUAGCUCAUGUUGAAUCAUGCCCAAAGACGCUUACACUGCUUUGUGAAGCUUAUGUGUAUUCGAAUUGCGAAAAUGCAGUCUCUACGCCUAGAAUGGAGAGCCGUCCCUCGCAGACAUUCUUGAAGUGAAGUAUCAAGAUUUCAAGUUCGCAUCUAAAUUAAUCAAAUCGUAUCAAAAUUGCGUCGGCGAAUCCUCCACAGGACACAGGAGGAGGAGGAUCUGACAGGGUAAACGAAUAGUGCUCGACUUUCGAUCGAAACUCUCUAAAUCAAUCAAGUGGAAAAUUGCAUUUCGGAAAGAAUAUAUUUCGUAAAUAAAAAGGAGAAUCAAAGUAUA